UGAAGCCAUCUCCAAGAUGAGAUAUCUUUUAAGACCCCUUGAAGACUACAAGGUUGAUAGGCAGCAUGUGUAAGCGUGGUGACACGUUCAGCUAAGCUGUACUAAUAGGUCGUAUGCUUGACCAUAUUUAACAC
rnacentral:rRNA from 1 species